rnacentral:lncRNA from 1 species
CUAGGAGUCACUUCCUAGAUUAUACUGCAUUUCUCAUAUGCAAUCAAAUUUGAUUGGGCGGCGACACCCAUCAAAUUUUGGCGCCGGUGCCGGGGACCAACGGUUAGGUUUUAGGUCUUUUGUUGUGUUAGUGUGCGUUGUGUUUUGUCUUGUGUUGUGAGUGUGUCGUUCUGUUUGUAUGUGUUCGUCAUUGUGUGUUGCAUUUAGAUAAGCUUUAGUUGCAUAUCUUCAUUGCAUUUUUCUUGCCCCCUUCUUUCUUUCUACAUGUCCAC